UAAUUUCUUUACAAAUAUUGUGCAUUCUAGUUUUGCUUAAUAAUGUUUCCUUACUUCUCUUGCUCUGUUUGGGCAAUGUGCCAUUUACCAGUGGUUUGGGAAGCCAUUUAAGGUAUAAAGGACAAUCUCACCAUCAGAUAUCAGUAUAUGAAAUGCGCUUCAGUUUAAAAACAACAGUAACAAUGUUUUGCAAAGGAAAGAUGCUAGCCUUGUCCAUUCUCAGAAGUCUUAAUGGAAUUUAAUCUUUCCUUCUACAGCCCAUCAACUAUAACCAGUAUCCUUCCAACUCUGUUCAUCUAUGUUCAGUGUAUCCUGUACAGAGUCUGGACAUUGCAUCCAUGGAUCUAUUGUUAAUCUCCUAAUAGUUUCCUUUAGACUCAGAGCAAUAUGGAGACUAAGGAAUAUCAGCUAACUCAAAUCUGUGAUUUACAAUUUUCCACAAUCAAGGAUUGGGUGCCAGACAGCUCCAUCUUCCAAAACCAUUUGCUGCUUGAGCCACCAGGCCUACAUCCACAAUCCCUAUGUUCCAGCCAAAUAAGCCUCUUCCGAUUGGCUGAAAAUUUCAACUUUGUGGUACCAUCAUUGUCAUUGAUUCUCUUCCCUUUUCACUAUUUUUUAUCCUUCUACUCCCUUUGCCAAUGAUGACUUCUGGUUGGCAGUAAAAGAUCUAAUCUAAGGAAGCAUCCAAGUUAGUAAUAAUAAUGAUAACAAUUCAACUAAUAAUGAAGUUAACAUUUAUUACUGAGAAUUUACCAUGAGUCAGGUACUCUUAAAGGUAAUGAUUAAUUAACUUAUCAAAGCAACCUUUACACAUAGGUAGUAAUAUUAUCCUCAUUUUAUGGAUGAGGAAACUGAACCAUAGAGAAGACAGAAAUGACAGAGCUACACUAUGAGUAAGCAGACAAAUAAAAUAGAAAUACUUAUGAUCUGAAUUUCCA
rnacentral:lncRNA from 12 species